rnacentral:rRNA from 1 species
AACGAACGCUGGCGGCGUGCCUAACACAUGCAAGUCGAACGAGAACUUCGGGUCUAGGGGCGCCUGGGUGCGUAACGGGUGGGAACCGGCCCUUGGGUUCGGAAUAACUACCAGAAAGGGGUGAUAACAGGGGACAAGGUCUUCGAACGAAAAAUAUAUCGAAUUGGGAGGGGCACGCGUGGCAUUCGCUAGUUGGGACGGUAAAAGACUCACAAGGCGACGAUCCAUAGCUGGUCUGAGAGGAUGGUCACCCACACUGGGAGUGAGACGCGGCCCGGACUCCUACGCGAUGCAGCAGUGGGGAAUAUUGGACAGUGGGCGGAGUGCUGAUCCAGCAAUGCCGCGUGAGUGAUGAAGGCCUUGGGGUUGUAAAGCUCUUUUACCCGUGAUGGUAAUGACGGUACCGGGAGAAUAAGCUCCGGCUAACUCCGUG